GUGGAUAAACCCUCCCUCUCCGCACCGCGCCCCCUCCCUGCGGAACAGAAGAGGCACAGAGAACGGAUACAGGGGAAGGGACACUCUCCCGCGCCCCCCUCCCUCCCAGACGCCAUACACGCGGAGUGGCGUACGCCACGAAGGCAUUGUCUACACAUCAGCUCACGCACACGAACACGCAUCCAUCCAUAGAAUACAAACAAGCGCACGCACCGGCAUACGCACCCGAAGCGUCUGAACCUCGAGAUGAUCCACCUCUCUCUGUAUCACGAGCACUACGGAGUGCGCUACGCCCCGCGCGGGCUGGCGUCGUGGCUCUUCUACGUGCUGUGUCUGCUCGUCAUCCUCGUUGCUCCCUUUUUCAUCGCUCUAUUCAUGCAGAACUUUUGGUUGAAGGCAAACUACUUCUACGACAUGCCAGAGGUGACCUUCACGGGGCAGUGUGCGGUGCGUGUCAGCACCGUGCUAGGCAGGGAGUACCUCUGGACCUGCUCCGACUUGUUCCACGGCGCACUGCAGGGGACGUCGCUGCGCAUUCUGCCGUAUUUUUCCACCUACGAGGACGACAGGGACGGCGACGGAAAGAUCGACUACGCGAACUUCUUGAUGAGCUUCCCCCUCGGCGACGCACUCGAGGCAUUCUCCCUCUAUGAGCCGACCAGCGCCGCCACUGGUGGUGGCGCCGACGCGCCGACCUCGCAGCGUGACGCGAUCCUCGAGGCCAGCUUUCUGCCCGAGUUCGUGUACUACAUCAAUCAUCAUCUUGUGAAGGUAAACAUGACGGCCGCGCCGCUGCUGCGCUAUCGGCGAACCCCCAUGCAAAAAGGAUUCGGCAACGUCACAGCGGCCACCUCAUCGACGUACAGCUGGAGCGGGGCGCCCGUGUGCGCGCUGACUAAGGCGGACAUGCUCUUCUACACGACCCACAGUCUCAUCAACUCCCCCUACGUGUCCUACAUGCAUACAUACACGUCGAGCCCUCUGCAAGAGCUCGCGCACCAGCCGGCAGACUUGUUAGACCUACCUCGCUUUUCCGGCAACUACGCUGCUCGCAAUCAAUCCGUUGUGCUGCGCGCCUACGUCGAGGCAGCGGGCGGGCUUGAUGUGCUGCGCAGAGAUGUGAGCAUCGUGCGUGGGCUUUGGGAGGAUCUAGAUGACCUGAACACCUUCACGUGGUACGUACAGCUGCGCAUCCUGCCGGCGGAGGUGCAAUAUAUGCCAUCCUACGCCGAGGUGCUCAAGUGGGGCUGGAUCCAGUAUUUUGCUAUCGCCUACAUUGUCCAGUGGCUCCUGUGGAAGUUGCGCAUGGUGCUGGUGACGAUGGGGUUGAUCAACUCACGGGCUCGCUUCAGCGCCAUGCGGCGACAGUACUAAAGCGCGUGUGCGUGCCAGUAGGCGAUUUUCUUGUCAUUUGGGCACGCUCCCUCACUCUCGCUUCUUCUCUCUGUUGCUCGCUGCGUCCGGAGCGGGGCUGCGUGGCGUGCAGCCGCCGCAGGGCAGCAACACGGCGGCAAGACGCACACAUGAACACGCACACGCACGCACUCGAACGGGCGGAGGCUCUUUUUGCUGUUGUCGUCCGCCCAGACCUUUUAGGAGGAGUGGCUGCUCGCGCGCAUGCGCAUCGACAUAGAGGAGAGGGCUGCAUGUACCAGGUAAAAG
rnacentral:misc_RNA from 1 species